rnacentral:tRNA from 1 species
GUUAAGUUAGUUAAUGUAAACAUUGGCUUUAGUUGCCAAGAAUGCUUUUGGUACUUAAAA